CAGCCGCCACGGUAAUACAGAGGGUGCAAGCGUUAAUCGGAAUUACUGGGCGUAAAGCGCGCGUAGGUGGUUUGUUAAGUUGGAUGUGAAAGCCCCGGGCUCAACCUGGGAACUGCAUCCAAAACUGGCAAGCUAGAGUACGGUAGAGGGUGGUGGAAUUUCCUGUGUAGCGGUGAAAUGCGUAGAUAUAGGAAGGAACACCAGUGGCGAAGGCGACCACCUGGACUGAUACUGACACUGAGGUGCGAAAGCGUGGGGAGCAAACAGGAUUAGAUACCCGCGUAGUCCCUGUCUCUUAUAA
rnacentral:rRNA from 1 species